CAGCCGUAAACUAUGCUCGCUAGGUGUCAGGCAUGGCGCGACCGUGUCUGGUGCCGCAGGGAAGCCGUGAAGCGAGCCACCUGGGAAGUACGACCGCAAGGCUGAACUUAAAGGAAUUGGCGGGGGAGCACAACAACGGGUGGAGCCUGCGGUUUAAUUGGACUCAACGCCGGACAACUCACCGGGGACGACAGCAAUAUGUAGGCCAGGCUGAAGACCUUGCCUGAAUCGCUGAGAGGUGGUGCAUGGCGUAGACGUCU
rnacentral:rRNA from 1 species